rnacentral:rRNA from 1 species
UGGCCUGCCCACUGAAAUUUUGAAUGGCCGCGGUAUUUUGACCGUGCAAAGGUAGCAUAAUAAUUAGUUUUUUAAUUGAAAGCUGGAAUGAAUGGUUGGACGAGAAAAUCUCUGUCUCUGGUUAAUUUAUAAUAAAAUUUUAUUUUUGAGUUAAAAAGCUUAAAUGUUAUUAAAAGACGAGAAGACCCUAUAGAGUUUAAUAUAUAAUAAAAAUUUAAUUUGAGGUAUUAAUUUUUUGUUUUUAGGUUUAUAUUUUGUUGGGGUGAUGGGAAGAUUUAUUUAACUCUUUUUUUAUUUUUAUACUGAUAAGUAAUUAGUUGAUCCAUUAUUGAUGAUUUUAAGAUUAAAUUACCUUAGGGAUAACAGCGUAAUCUUUUUAGAGAGUUCUUAUCGAAAUAAGGGAUUGCGACCUCGAUGUUGGAUUAAAGUUAAUUUUAGGUGCAGAAGCUUGAAAAUUAAGUCUGUUCGACUUUUAAAACUUUACAUGAUCUGAGUUUAAACCGGCGUGAGCCAGGUUGGUUUCUAUCUUUAUUUUUAUAUAAUGUUUUAGUACGAAAGGACCAA